UUCUCGUUUCUGAUCGACGUUCAUGGCAUUCAUGAACUUGCAUUUGAUCCAGUCUCAAACUUCUUGAUGCUUGGUAUCUAGUUUCACAGUGUUCGCGAAGAUAGUUCUGAAUUUAUAUGUGAUUGCAUGAUAAUGUUUGGACUUUGAGGCUGUUUGACAAGUUUACAACUUCUUCAAGCAAGAAUGCGGUACUUUCCAGUGUGAGGAAGGAC
rnacentral:lncRNA from 1 species